UACGUAGGGGGCAAGCGUUGUCCGGAAUCAUUGGGCGUAAAGAGCGUGUAGGCGGCCCGAUAAGUCCGCUGUGAAAGUCAAGGGCUCAACCCUUGAAUGCCGGUGGAUACUGCAGGGCUAGAGUCCGGAAGAGGCGAGUGGAAUUCCUGGUGUAGCGGUGAAAUGCGCAGAUAUCGGAAGGAACACCGGUGGCGAAAGCGGCGCGCUGGACCCCUUCUGACGCUGAGGCGCGAAAGCCAGGGGAGCAAACGGG
rnacentral:rRNA from 1 species